UUCAGCUGUUUGGCAGCAUUGAGAUGCCGGUCUCUAUCACUCUCCUUGAGCAGACGUCGCAUCACCUGGGAGAGUCGAGAGUCACCUGUAAAACUUUUCAUAGAGUCUUCUUGCAGUUUCCUCUCAUUUCUUUGCUAACUUUUAUGU